GUUACUGCCACUACUACUAAUUAUUAUUACAAUAAUAUCACAGCUGCUCCAACUGUUUCUGCUACUGUGACUAAAAUACUGCUAUGUCUGUUGCAAGUUGUCAGGCUACUCAAAGCAGGAUUAUCAUCUACUGUUGUAACCAAGGUCUUAAAUCUACUAAUACAAUACCCCGCUGGUGUAAAGCCUGACUGGGCUGCGCUCAAGGAAUUGCAAUAAUCAAAUCAGCCCUGUAGUUAAACUUUUUGCCACAGAUGCAGGGACACGCUGGCGUGUGCUGCCUCAUUCCUUUCUCCUUUUCAUUUAGCCACGUUUUUCCGGCUCAGACAGAUUAGAUGUACUGAUACACUGACUCAGAAUGCUGUUAUUGAUGUCUUUGAUGAGGAGUGAUGGAGUGACAGAAGCCAGAAAGAGAAUAAAAAAGAAUUGACCCAGCUGAGCUCCUCACAGUGUGCACUGGUGUAAAAUUGGGUUGGGUCUGGAGAGCUGGUGAGUUUUGGUCUUGGUUUAGCAAAAAUAUGAUAAGAACAGCUCACCACCCACUGCUAGCCAAAGGGGGACAAACACAGACACCAUACCUGUGAGGAGAAAAUAGAGAGAAAAGAACAGAGAGAGAGAGCAGAGAAGCAGUGAAAGAGAGAUGGCUGCACGCUGAGGACACACAGAGAAUUGCAACAAAUCUGAAGCAGGGGGAAAGGAUGCAGAAGCAGCAUUGACUCAAACAGGAGUGACAAAUUAAACUACAGCUGUGCAUUUGCACUGCAAGAAGCAUGAUCCACAAUUCACAGGAAGUUCAUUAAUUUCCUACAGAGCCAAAGGACUGAGGAAACAGUGGAUGUCAACAAUGCUGUCAGCUGAGAAGCUACCUCAGCUGAACUUUUCACAGCAAUUGGUGGUAAACAGCAUAUAAGGUUUCAUGUUUUUUUGUUUGUUUAUUUGUUUGUUUUUUAAUCCCUACAGAUGUGGUUUACUAUGUACAGUAAUUCAGACUUGAGACUGCAAAUGUUCACCUCACGUUAUUCACACAAAUUAACACUGGCGUGUUGCAAGUGUUUAUUCAUCACGUUAGCUGUUAGCUUUAGCUAGCUAAUGUAUAUACCAAUGGUGUAUGCAUGGUGUGUUGUGCUUUAGCCUCUGGUUGAUCUUUAAAAUCACCAAGAAUCCCA